rnacentral:misc_RNA from 1 species
CCCACUAUAGUGUUGUAACUUCAUGAAAAAAACAUGACGAAUAGAGGUUGCGUGUUGCAUCAAUACUGCCAGUUUAGUGACUUAUAAAAAACUUUGUCAAUAAUGGCAUCGCCUUCAAAAGUCAAGGGAUCGAAAUCAUCUAAUCUUAAGAGGAAACAACCAACAAUAAACCCCUUUUUACCAAAUGAAGAAUCGGGUGGUGGAACGGCGAAGAAAUUCAAAACCUCAACCGUGAUUGACCCGUCGGGAUCGUCAUCAGUAAAGUUAAAGCCGGAAUCUAGUAACGAUGCAGACAAUGGUCAGCAGUUUUUUAGUAGUGUGGUCGCCUACAUCCUUCCAGCGGGAAUUGGAAAAGCACGCACCGACAUCUUCAAAAAACAAAUGUCUAAAUUUGGCGCCGAAGUACUUAAUGUUUGGGACGAAGCAAUAUGCACUCAUCUGAUUGUUGAUGAAGGGAUGGAUGUGGAACGCCUCAAAAGAAUCAUGAAGAUUGAAAAGGCACCAUCAAACAGUCUUGUACUAAGAGCAAGCUGGCUGAGUUUUUGUCUGACAGAGAAGCAACUUUUGCCAACUGACAACCAUAAACUAAGGUUUCCAAUGAUUCAAAAAGAGGAUAUGUCAAGAAAACCAGAUGCUUCUUCCAAACCAGUUUCCAAUACAAGUCAGAAAUCUGAAACUGCUGAGUCUUGUGAUAUUAAGAAUAAAACCCUUGAGAAGAAAACUGAUGGACCAAAAGCUUCUGACGUGCCAUCUACGUCCAAUGCCCCAAUGUCCAAUGUUCAAGGAACUAAGUGGACAAGUCCAGUGAAAGCAGCAGGUUCAGACCGGGGAUAUGAUAGUGAUGAUAGUAACUAUGUACCCAGUGAUGAUGAUGACGGGCAGGAAUCUCUGAUGAUAACCACAGUAUCUGAUGCUACUGGCCCAUCAUCCAAUGUAUCAACACCAGCAUCCUCCCCACAAAAGCUUCCAAAAGGUAACUGGGUGUGUUCCAAGCCAUCAACCUCUCAGCAGAAAAACCUUAAUGACCACAUCACUGAAAAGCUGGAGGUUUUGAUGAAGACCUAUGCUAACACCAAAGAUCACUGGAGGGCCAUGGGAUAUCGGAAAGCUAUCACUGCUCUGAAGCAAUACCCUAAGGAAGUCACUAGCUGGGAGGAAGCCAAUAAAAUCCCAGGCAUUGGAACUCGCUUGGCAGACAAGAUCAGUGAGAUUUUAGAGAGUGGACAUCUGAGGAAGAUCGACCAUGUCUGUGGUGGAGAGGACAUGAAGGCUCUGGACAUCUUCAACCAAAUCUGGGGAGUGGGACCUACGGUGGCACAAGAAUGGGUUCAACUGGGAUUCAGGACACUGGAUGACGUGAGAGAGAAGGCCAAGUUAACCAGGCAGCAAAAGAUUGGCUUGAAACACUAUGAGGAUUUCUUAGAAAGGAUGCCUAGACAGGAAGCAGGAGAAAUUGAGAGAACGGUUCGGGAAAUGGCAGAAAGUGCUACCCCAGGUAUGCUGGCAGUUGUUUGUGGAUCUUAUCGGCGAGGCAAGGCAACUUGUGGAGAUGUUGAUGUGCUUAUCACUCAUCCAGAUGGUAAAUCACACCGCGGAGCACUGGGCAAGAUUCUCGAUGGACUACGAGCAAAAGUAUCAUCAACAAUGGAAACUGUGACGUCAGUGCGAAAUGAACAAAUACAAAUGAAUCAAGGCAAAACUGUCAGAGACUGUUGGAACAUUGUCUUAGUUUACAGUCCCCUGGAGAGCUGUAUAGACACAAGGAGAAUGAUUAAUCACCCUUCUUCGUACAUCUGGUGAAGUCACAUGGUGAUCAUUGGUUGUCAUGGCAGCAACUGGCGAGAAUGAGAGGAAGUUGUCACAAUGCAAGAAAACAAUGUCAGAGGAAAUUAUUGCACGUUUUUUUGAUCAGGAUUUGUAGCAGCAGAUAGGAUAGUUGCUUGUUUGUCGAUGGUUGUGUGGAUUAGUAAUGGUAAAAAUGAUCAAUUUGUUAGUCGAUUGGAGGCAGGCAGUCACUGAUCAGUCACUGAUCAGUCUGUUAAUGAAUUUACCAACGGUAAUGAGAAAUUAAUGCACCUUACGUGAUAGAUUGACAGCGAGAAAGAAUUGAUAAAUGUUUGAGAUAAAUUUGGAGACUGUCAUAUUUGUAAAUCUACCAGGAAGGGCUUUCGUUAUUAUACUUGGUUAAAUCAAAUUCAUUAUGAUAAUUCAAAGACCAAAAGCCUCUGUUAACGGCACAUCACACACAACACUGUUUUGAGUUCACCCUCAGCAAUUUCACAGUUUUCAAUUUCGGCCAACCCAGUGGAGACCUGAAAAAGGAUAUCACAUAGCAGACGAAUUCAGUCCUUUUGCAUCGCUUACAUAUAUCUUGGAAACUCAGCUUUAAAUGGCGUCAACGAAGAUGAUUUACAGUGUAUGCCCGCGUAAAAAUCUGUGCGCGAUGUUGCAGAGAAAUAGACAAGUUCCUGAUUGUCUGGGACGGCUUGCAGAUUCACGAAGGAACAUAUGGGUUGUUUUGUUUGUCAUUUUGGGGAAGUGAAUGUACGGAUCUUACUCUUCAUUUCUAAUAGCACUGAUGAUAUUCCUUGACCGCUUUGAAUUUCGAUUUUUUUGUGUGUGUUUCUAUACAAACUAAUUUACCCUGUGACAGGCUACGUGCGUGCAUAUCCUUGCACAGGUAGGCAAAUUGGCUGAGUUAACGUCAAUUCGAUCACCCGUCAUUCUCCCCUUGAUGAAACCGUCAGUGGUUGCAUCAAUUCCCCCCCUCCAUACUCGAUGCUUGUCGAGCAUUAUUGUUACAACCCUAUCGGGCAAGGUAUUUAAUUUUCGCCAAAUAAGAUAGCCCAGGGGCGAGAUGCGUUGGCGCGCGCGCACGCACGCACCCACAACAUAGACUCAAUAUGCUGCACGACCUCAGAUCUGCAAUUUCCGUGCUGGACGUUAAAAGCAUUGAAAUUGGACUGUAGACUUAAUGGUUAUUAUACCCGAUGCUCUGACAGGUUUCUGAGGCAGCAGAAAAGACCAUAGGAAAUUGGGGUUGAGUAUGUGCGUACUUCCUUCGUCAAAGCAUCUAUGGUCAAAGCUGUGACCAAGAGCAAAGACCUAUGUUGUGACCUACACUACACUUAAGUCUUUGAAUUUGUGGUUUCAACGGAAAGCCAUUCUGAUCUAUGGGAGUUUUGUGUGAAACCCAAUAUACUGCUCAUAAUACGACUGGCUUCGUAUAACCUAGGUCUUUGAAAUAAUUUGUCCAGGGCUGGGAACCUGAGAAACUCGAAACCACGUGCCACUUUGAAUGAAGAAGACAUUAAGGAAUGGGAAAAUAAAAUAACUCAACGGACACAGUGCCUUCCCUUCGCCCCAGGCAGGUAAUCAUCCUAUCAAACAACGUUUCCUCGCUCUGUGCUUAGUACCAAGAAUAUUCCAAAUCUUUGCUUUCACGCACAAGACGACAACCAAUCGGAAGUGCUUCUGUUUUGCUUCCAAGAAUUCGAAGUGAUCUGUAGCUGGAAAACUCGGAAUUCAAGCAGUUCAUAAUUAACGCACCUUUCAUCCGGUUUACUUUCUGGCCAGCUGGAUACAUGUAAUUGGCGGGAAACCCGACAAGUCUACAAAAAAGCACGCGCCGACUAAAGCGUACGGCGUUGCCGAGGUCGUACACGUCACAUAGUAUAGCUCAAGCUUUUAAAGGCCGGCUGACGUAAACUCGCUUCUGCAGAGAAAAUGGCUUUCGGAGUGCCUUGUCAACUUCUGAGUUACAAGAAGCUAUCCAUCGCAAAAGAAUUGUGCAGACAGGAGAAAGAGGUUUUUCUCGGUUGGCGAAAACCUUUUUUUCGUGAACUGGAAACGAACGACAACGGAGAAACUCUCCAGAUUGCGCGCCUCUUGAUAGAGAACUUUUCAACUUUCGAGAGGUCUCAGACAGCCCUUGUAAUAUCCUGUUAGAAAUCCCCUGUGUGCACUUUGCAAAGAUCGGGCGUUUGUCAGUGAGUUGUCACUGGCUACAAUGCAAGUCCAGGCGUGAACAGACGAUACGUCAUGUCAUUGAGAGAAUGCGUGGUGAGUCACCAACCAAUGACGUCAGCCAUUAACUGGUAACUGACUGUGUCCUUUGGACUGGAUAAUGCCGUUUGCGAGUCUUUGCCGGGUGCCAGUUAUGACUGAUAGCUGGAGACGCGUGGCUGGCCGCCGACAGUUCAGUAUAAAAACCACGCAGCACGAACACUCCAGCAGAACCGUACUCAUCUUGCAAUUGAAACGUUUGAAGUUUACUUCAGCGAUCCCAAAAAACUUGAACUGUCUGAGUCAGUCAAUCUUCAGCGUCAAAUCAUGAUGGCACCUCCAACAGUGAUGAUGGGAGCUCGUUUGAAGAGCCAGGAGAGCCCAGCACAUUCCCCGGCCCGUCGUGGCCGGCGCAAUGCCAUGGCCGACGUGACGGUCGGUAUCACGGCAGACCAGCGACACGCUUUGGAAGAAAUGGUACAGACCUACGUCCCAGACUUCUUCGACGCAGAAGCUGCAAUCGGAAACAGAGGAAGUCACCGGCGAAAUGCAGUGGCUAACGUGGUUGCAGAACUGACCCAGAACGAUCUACAUCACCUAGAACACAUGGUACGAACCUACCAUCCCGAGAUGACAACUCGUCACCACACUGAUGACAACGACGAUGACUCGUCAUCGGGUGAUGGCGAGGACGCUUGCUCUCCUAACGGUCCCUGUCCAGCAUAUUACGAGCGCCGCCGCAACGCCCUUGCCAAUCCGCUGGCCAACUUAGACGAGGAGACAAUCCGCCGGAUCCGGUCCCUUCAUAAUUGCAGACACAGAUCGUCGAAUCUGGGCAGAAUCUAAAAAGAAAUCACCAGCAAUGACUGUCGUCAUGGUAACGUACGAAUCACACGACUCUGACAUGCAUUAUAGAACUUUAGAAUGAGAUAGUGCCUUCAAGCAUGGAGCAACAGCAACAUGGCGCAGUCCUCCUUCAUCUAAAGUUUUGCCUAAAAGUUUAUGGACAAAAGCCGUCAACUGGACAAAACUGUUCCCUGCAGUUCAGACGCCCUGUAACCCUUCAUGAACGGCUGUCAGUGCAACCCUGGACUUGAUCUAGAUCAUGUCACGCCUCACCGGCGCCUUUAUCCCGCCAAGAAUGACUGAUUUCCGUUACCACAGUAAUUGAUGACGUCGGCACAGUGACUUUACAAAACUAACCGUCAUUCUUCGCCAUUGAGUUAUUCAAGUUUAGACCCAAUUUAAGAACCAUGUUUUGCACGCCCAAAAAACUACAAUAUCAUGAGUAAUACUUCAACAUUCAAUACAAGUUUUUUUCCAAAUUUGGUCGUAAAAUCUGCUUGCUUCAGAAUGCUCUUGCUGUGGCCUUUCUGAUUUGCCUCGAUACUUGGGUAUGCAAACUUUCAUGAUUUAUGUGCACUCUUGUUAAAAUUGUACUGAAUACGAGUUUCCUAAUUGUGCUGGACGUGUCCGAAAGUAAGUUUCAAUGAUCAAAGCACUUUUCCGAAAUCACUGUGCUGAUUUGGUAUUCUGCAUUUUGUUUCCUGCACACCGUCCUUUACUUUUACCAGAAAGGAAAGUGAUAGGCUUAACUCUAGUUUUUGUACUGAAAUGCAUAUUUACGCAUUUUUGAUCAAGGUGUUUUCAUUCACAUAUUUGAUACUUCAUGCUUUAUUGUGACGGUUAUCGGAAGCAUUACGAUGUAUUCAAGCUUAUGGCUGGACCAUAGGUUAAUUAAAGGUUUUAAUAAAUGUCGCCUCACGUUUAAAUUA